ACACAGUAUAUUAUUAUUAUUGUGGGUUGAAUAAUAAGUUGCUUUUUGCUGAUGAUGCUUCUGCUUCCGCUUCAGUCGUUGCGAGAAAGCACUUCUAGCCCUAGGAUUGUGAAACGUGAGAGCGAGAGAAGAGGCGUGAUUUGUAUGCUUCAAGUUCAAGAUUAGAUUAUUUAAAAAAAAAAAAAAGUUCAAGACUUCAAGAUUUGGAAAAGUGACCGUGAGUGAGCUUAAAAUAAAAUAAAAUCAAAUCAAAUAACGAGAUGCUGCUUCUGCUGCAAAUUUGCAGGACUGCAAAACAAAACAAGCAAGCAAACGAAGCAAUUGCCCACUUGCGUGAAAAGAUAAUAAUUUCGUUUUUCAAUUUUUAACUAAAUGUGAGUUUUCUUAAAAAAACGAGAGAUAGAUCAAGGUAGCGUUUGUUUUUUCGUUUUAAAUAUGAAUGGAUCGAAAUUUAGUUGAAAUUUGAAUAGUUAUGAAUAUAUAAAUUUAAAUGAU
rnacentral:lncRNA from 1 species